rnacentral:tRNA from 1 species
AAGGCUUUAAGUUAAAAUAAACUAAUAACCUUCAAAGUUAUAAAUACUAGAUAAUCUUUUAAGCUUUA